rnacentral:rRNA from 1 species
AUGCUAGCUGAAAAAGAUUUCAGAACGCGAAGAUUUGUUGUGAUUGUCAACUUGCAGCAACAGUUGUUCAGUUGUAUCUGUGGGAAAUUUCAGAAAGAUGGCAUUGUGUGUUGCCAUGUCUUGAGGGUCCUUUCUCAUCUCAACAUGUCUGUGCUGCCAGAAAAGUAUUACAUAGACAGGUGGAGGCCAAAAAAUACAAAGGACAUACGGGACAACCGUUUCAAUGUUCCUUUGGAACUAACUGUUGGAAGUCAACACUUAAGGUAUACCCUGCUAUCCAACAGGCUCAAUGAGAUGGCUUCGGACGGUGCAUCAACAAACAGAAAAUAUCUGUAUGUUGUAGCAGAAUGUGAAAGGGUGCAACAAAAGCUGGAUGAGAUGACUAAAGAGGAUGAACUUGGAGAAGCGCAACAAGCAAAUGUUGACAAGGACACAACAGAAACAGAUGCAGCACCGCAUCCGAUGGCUAUGGAGACAAACUUCAAGAUCCUGAUGUUGCAGUAUCAAAAGGGCGUCCACAAAAAGGUCGUUACAAAACUUUCAUGGAAAGUUUAG